rnacentral:rRNA from 1 species
AUUGAGCCUUGAUGUGUAGGAUAGGUGGGAGGCUUUGAAGCGUGGACGCCAGUCUGCGUGGAGCCGACCUUGAAAUACCACCCUUUAAUGUUUGAUGUUCUAACGUGGACCCGUAAUCCGGGUUGCGGACAGUGUCUGGUGGGUAGUUUGACUGGGGCGGUCUCCUCCUAAAGAGUAACGGAGGAGCACGAAGGUUGGCUAAUCCUGGUCGGACAUCAGGAGGUUAGUGCAAUGGCAUAAGCCAGCUUGACUGCGAGCGUGACGGCGCGAGCAGGUGCGAAAGCAGGUCAUAGUGAUCCGGUGGUUCUGAAUGGAAGGGCCAUCGCUCAACGGAUAAAAGGUACUCCGGGGAUAACAGGCUGAUACCGCCCAAGAGUUCAUAUCGACGGCGGUGUUUGGCACCUCGAUGUCGGCUCAUCACAUCCUGGGGCUGAAGUAGGUCCCAAGGGUAUGGCUGUUCGCCAUUUAAAGUGGUACGCGAGCUGGGUUUAGAACGUCGUGAGACAGUUCGGUCCCUAUCUGCCGUGGGCGCUGGAGAACUGAGGGGGGCUGCUCCUAGUACGAGAGGACCGGAGUGGACGCAUCACUGGUGUUCGGGUUGUCAUGCCAAUGGCACUGCCCGGUAGCUAAAUGCGGAAGAGAUAAGUGCUGAAAGCAUCUAAGCACGAAACUUGCCCCGAGAUGAGUUCUCCCUGAGACUUAGAGUCUCCUGAAGGAACGUUGAAGACGACGACGUUGAUAGGCCGGGUGUGUAAGCGCAGCGAUGCGUUGAGCUAACCGGUACUAAUGAACCGUGAGGCUUAACCUUACA